rnacentral:lncRNA from 1 species
AACUUGGAGGCGCUACAAAUCCCCGAGUUUGAUGAAGUCAGAGCAGUGGAGGCCAUGUAGAAAGGUACCACUUCUCCAAAAUUUUUUAGAUCGUUAUGCAGAAAGCCACCUACUAUCCUGGCAGAACUGGUGAAGAGAGCAGAAAAGUAUAUAAGGCAAGACGACGCCUUAACCACUAACAUAUUUGUCAGGGAAGCAAGAGACAGGGGAAAGGCUGUGGAGGAAGACGGGUGAUGGAGACAGAGAGGCCAGUAGGAGAAAUGAGUCAAUGGCCAGAGCACGAGGCUGGGUGAUAAGAGAACUCAUUGAGAAUGACGGGACUGAAAGCUACUCUUACGAACUGGAGAAAAGAUUAGACAGUGAAGAGUUGGAGAAAAACUAUCGUCCAAAAAAAUACAGAGGAGUGAGGAGGAAGAUGUAGAUCAGAAGUUGAAGAAGCUAAAGGAGCAACUGUUGGCAGAACCGGG